UGUACAUGUGGAGGCCAAUGAAAUGUCCUUGGACAAAAAGUGGACACUUUACGAACCCUACCACAGAUUCAUUCUUUAAAAAGAUAGCCUUUAAGAACACCUUUGAUAAAAGAAGAACGUAUUGAAAUCGUUCUCAUGGCUGGAUCUGGAAGCUAUCGCAAUGAUGAGAUGGACUUUAGCAGGAAACAUGGCCGGAAGCUCAGACGCGACACUGUUACCAAACUUAAUAACAAAUUCAAAAUGACUGGAAAUGUCGCGGACCAACCGAGAAGUGGACGUCCACGAACAUCCACUGACGUAGACACGACCGACGUGGUGCUGGCAAACAUAAAUCCCCUACGUAUGGAGACUUUUGGGACACCCUAUACAUUAACUCUACUUUAGAUCAUCACAGGGGAAGCAGCAGCACGAUACAUAAAAUCAUGCAAAUGAAGGUCAAGAGCUUUAUGUUUAUCAGAAUGCAAAAACAAAAACAUGAUCUCAGUGAUUUUUGACUGCCAGGGCUGCUUUGGAAUAUUUCAGAAACUUGCUAAACUCCUGGAAUUUCCACACACAACAGUCUCAUUCAACAGAGUGGAGUGAAAAACAAAAAACAUCCAGUGAGUGGCAGUGCUGCAGGCAGAAAUGCCGUGUUGAUGAGAAACAGGAAUCACGGGAGAAUGGCCAGACUGUUUUGAGCUAACAGGAGGGUUACGGUAACUCAAGGAACCACUCUUAACACCCAUGGUGAGCAGAAUGCACAGAAGACCUUAGACAGGUUCCAUGCCUGUCAACCAAACACAAAAAUCUGACACUACAGCGGACACAGGGCUCACUGAAAAAAAAGACCAGGCCACAAAAUGUCUGACAAUCUCAAAGGAAGUUGAUCCAUUCAACUAUAUACAGUAACAAGACAUUAAUACUUAAAUAUUACCAUUAUUAACGGUUAUUCAUAUAUGACCCAGAGGUUGUUAAUGUACACGCUUCAUUAUUUCCUCAUGCACUAAUGAUCAGUGCAUGUAUUAUGCAGGUAUUAAUCAUUAUGAAAGCAUUAGUACAUAUAAUAAUAAAUGCGUUCCCACUUGUUUUUAAUUUGUGGACCUUACAGUAAAGUCUUACCAAGUGUUAUCAUCUGAACGAGAUCAGGUUCCUCACUCACGCAGAUGUUUUUCGGAAGUGAUAUUUGGGCAUGUGUCUGGGAGAAAGAAACGACAAGUGUGUGUAUGUCGGGUUUGAUGCAAGAGGAUUAUCCCAUCAAGACCGGAGAUAACUGAAAUUAAAGGGUUAAGAAUGAAAUCAAAGUGGUAACUAGCGAUAACUUUAUUCGCUGUAUGAUGUCAGAGGUUGUCGUCUUGAUCUGGGAUAAUACGAAUAUUUAUUUGUAUUUUGUCGCAUUAAUUAACUGUUACAUUACGUGUCUGGCUAGAUGAGUUAGAUGACUGGUUUAAAUAAAGGUUUUCUGUCCUGUUUGCACCACUGAUCGAUUGAUCGUUCGCACCAUUCCCUUAUUUAUUUUUUAUUAUUUUAUUUUUGUACUCAACUGGACAAUGAUCCCCCCCCCCCCCCCCCCCCACCCCAUCCCAUCCAUGUCCCUUUAGGUCAAGAAGGACUUCUCGAGUUUCUUUCCAUUUCUGCCUGAACUUCGAGCCAAUGACGGACUGAGGACUGUGGAAUGUCAAACGCCACAGAGGGCAAGAUGGGAAAACCUGUCUUAAUGUUGUGUGACUGAUGCAACCUCCCUGAUCUCGCUCACAUUUUAAUGGAGCUUGUAACGGGUCUAAAUAUAUACACUUCAGUAGCGCACUUACACGCACUUUCCCCAGUCAGACGUGCUCUCCGGGGAAUGUGUGUGUGUGUGUGAGUGUGUGUGUGUGUGUUUGUGUAAUGGCACCUCUCAGGGUGGAAAUAUCGUUCACUUUAAUCAUAGAACGUCUGAGCUAAAUCGUCAGUUGAAGCUGAGAGAGGGAUUGGGAUGCUGGUGGAAGGGGCGAGGGGGGAGGGGGGGGUGUAAACUAAGGAUAAAAAAUAAAUAAAUAAAUAAAAUAAAGUAGUGGAGUAAUGAAGAGAACUAAAGUUUCAUCCUGAGUGAAAACCUCUAGCGGCAACCCAAACACUUACCUCUGGCACGGAGAAGAAUUCAUCCAGCUUAAAAAUGAUUCCCUGCCCACACGAGGCAUUACACCGCUGUCAGAGUCAGUCAGAGAAAGAGGAGAGAAGGAUUACAGUGCAGAGGAGCACUGAGGGGAAAGGAAGCACAACGAGUUGUUGCUUAGACAAGAGUUGGAACCAGGCACGAUAAAGCGAUCUGGAAAUGGCCGCGUCUGGUGCCAGCGCAUUAAGGAACUGUCAGAGUGCUUUAGAAUAUUGAGACGUGCGGCUACUGUGGAUAAUAUAUACACGAGGACAUUAUACGCUCGCGAACGCAUGCACAUAUGUCUCUCUCACACAGUCAAGUACACACACUAACUCUCCUUUACUUUAUGUGUCACAUGUGCCACACCCAUGUUUGUGCAAACUCAAUCAAAUGAUUUUUGAGUAGCAAUAAAUCAGCCUGUGUUUUGCUUGGCUGGGAAUCAGGUUUGCUCUCCUCACUCUCUGUUCCCUACUCUUCACACAUGUUUACACACACACACACACACACAAACACACACGCAGCUCCUGGAUCUGCUUUCCCUCAGUGCAUUAUUAGUAUUAUUUGAGUUUAUUUAUCAAUCAUCACCUGAUUAUAACUGGCAAAAAGCACAAUUACACACUCGCCACCAGACAGAAAGAGAUGGGAAAAAAAACAAAAAGCAAACUGAUCUGGAAACAGCAGGACUCACAGCACAGUUUUGGCUAACAGCAGCAUUGUUACACCCUAGCCUUGAGCUGGA